AUACGGAGGGUGCAAGCGUUACUCGGAAUCACUGGGCGUAAAGCGCGCGCAGGCGGGCUGAUAAGUUGGAUGUGAAAGCCUACGGCUCAACCGUAGAACUGCAUCCAAAACUGUCAGUCUAGAGUCUGGGAGGGGAAGAUGGAAUUAGUUGUGUAGGGGUAAAAUCCGUAGAGAUAACUAGGAAUACCAAAAGCGAAGGCGAUCUUCUGGAACAGUACUGACGCUGAGGCGCGAAAGCGUGGGGAGCAAACAGAAUUAGAUACCCUAGUAGUCC
rnacentral:rRNA from 1 species